UGCUUAAUGCAUGCAAGUCGUACGCGCCAAACUUCGGUUUGGUGAGUGGCGCACGGCUGAGUAACACGUGGGUCAUCUGCCCCGGUGUGGGGGACAACGGGUCGAAAGAUCCGCUAAUCCCGCAUACGGUCUCUUCGGAGAAGAAAGCCUUCGGGCGCACUGGGAUGAGCCUGCGGCCCAUCAGGUUGUUGGUGUGGUAAAAGCGCACCAAGCCGAUGACGGGUACCUGGUCUGAGAGGACGAUCAGGCAGACUGGGACUGAGACACGGCCCAGACUCCUACGGGAGGCAGCAGCAAGGAAUUUUCCGCAAUGGGCGCAAGCCUGACGGAGCAACGCCGCGUGCAGGAGGACGGCCUUCGGGUUGUAAACUGCUUUUGCUGGGGACGAUAUGGACGGUACCUGGCGAAUAAGCCCCGGCUAACUCCGUGCCAGCAGCCGCGGUAAUACGGAGGGGGCAAGCGUUGUCCGGACUUACUGGGCGUAGAGCGCACGUAGGCGGCGUCGUGCGUCGGCACUGAAAGCGCUCGGCUUAACCGAGCGAGGCGUGUCGAUACGACGAUGCUUGAGGCAAUGAGAGGUUGGUAGAAUUCCGGGUGUAGUGGUGAAAUGCGUAGAUAUUACACAGAACACCAAUUGCGAAGGCAGCUUACCAAACUAUUAUUGACGCUGAAGCACGAAAGCGUGGGUAGCGAACAGGAUUAGAUACCCUGGUAGUCCACGCCGUAAACUAUGCUCACUCGCUGUUGGCAAUACAUGGUCAGCGGCUAAGGGAAACCGAUAAGUGAGCCACCUGGGGAGUACGAUCGCAAGAUUGAAACUCAAAGGAAUUGACGGGGGCCCGCACAAGCGGAGGAACAUGUGGUUUAAUUCGAUGAUACGCGAGGAACCUUACCUGGGCUUAAAUGUAGAGUGCAUUACGUAGAAAUAUGUAUUUCCUUCGGGACUCUUUACAAGGUGCUGCAUGGUUGUCGUCAGCUCGUGCCGUGAGGUGUCGGGUUAAGUCCCAUAACGAGCGCAACCCCUAUUGUUAGUUACCAGCGCGUAAAGGCGGGGACUCUAGCGAAACUGCCGGUGUAAACCGCGAGGAAGGUGGGGAUGACGUCAAAUCAGCACGGCCCUUAUGUCCAGGGCUACACACGUGUUACAAUGGCCGGUACAGUGGGCAGCCACAUAGCGAUAUGGAGCUAAUCUCAAAAGCCGGUCUCAGUUCGGAUUGGAGUCUGCAACCCGACUCCAUGAAGGUGGAUUCGCUAGUAAUCGCGCAUCAGCCAUGGCGCGGUGAAUACGUUCCCGGGCCUUGUACACACCGCCCGUCAAGCCAUGGAAGUUUGG
rnacentral:rRNA from 1 species